CCUACGGGUGGCUGCAGUGAGGAAUAUUGGUCAAUGGGCGCGAGCCUGAACCAGCCAAGUCGCGUGAGGGAUGACGGUCCUACGGAUUGUAAACCUCUUUUAUAAGGGAAUAAAGUGAGGGACGUGUCCCUUUUUGUAUGUACUUUAUGAAUAAGGAUCGGCUAACUCCGUGCCAGCAGCCGCGGUAAUACGGAGGAGCCGAGCGUUAUCCGGAUUUAUUGGGUUUAAAGGGUGCGUAGGCGGCAUUGAAAGUCUGAGGUGAAAGUCGGGGGCUCAACCAUCGGAGUGCCGUUGAAACUGGUGGUCUUGAGUGUGUGAGAGGCAUGCGGAAUGCGUGGUGUAGCGGUGAAAUGCUUAGAUAUCACGCAGAACCCCAGUUGCGAAGGCAGCCUACCGGACCGUAACUGACGCUGAUGCACGAAGGCGUGGGGAUCAAACAGGAUUAGAUACCCUAGUAGUC
rnacentral:rRNA from 1 species